rnacentral:rRNA from 1 species
UAUAUUAUAAAUGGUUAUUGUUGUUAUUUUAAUAUAUUAGAUUAGUAUUAUGAGUGAUUGUUGUUGAGUUUUGAUAGUUUAUGAGGUACUGUUGGGGAGUUAUUUUAUUUUUAUUAAAUUUAGGUUGUUUAAUACCUUUUGUAUUAGGGUUCUUUUAUGUUAACAUAUGUUAAUUAUUUCUCGAUAAAUAUCGGGCUAUUUUGUUAGUUUAGAUCUCGUUGCAUAGAGUCUUUUAUAACAGAAUAGUUAUGAAAUAUUAUUCAAGUUAUUUUGUAUCUAGUUUUCUUAGGGGUGUAAUUGAGAAUAUAUUUAUGUUGAAGUUAUGCAGGGAUUAGCUUGUAUAUUAUUUAUAUGAUAUUUGUGUUAUUAAUUUGUUUGUGGUGUUAGAAGUUCUUAUUUUUAUGGUGUUAUUACUGAAUAAGUUUAAUUUAUUAUUUUUUUUGUUUAUGUUGUGAUGGGGGAUAUUACAUUAAUUUAGGUUGUCUGGUUAUAAUGAUGAUAUUAGUAAUUUUGUUAUUUAUUUUUGAUGAUUUAGGUUUUGGCUUGGGUGAGUUGUGUUUUAAUUAGUGAUGAAGAACUUGGCAAAGUUUGACUUUUGACUGUUUAGCAAAAACAUUGUUUUUUGUUUAAAUAAAAAAUAAUUUCUGCCCACUGCUGUUAUGGUAAAGGGCUGCAGUAUUUUGACUGUAUGAAGGUAGCAUAAUCAUUAGCUUUUUAAUUUGGAGCUGGUAUGAAGGGGAAACGGAGGUUUGCUGUUUUAUUACUAUUUAAUUAAUUUUAUUUUUAUGUGAAAAAUCAUAAGUGUAAUAAUGGGACAAGAAGACCCUAGUAAGUUUUAUUUUUUGUUUUUAAUGCACACAUAGGUAAAUUUGUGUAAUUUAUUAUGGGGAGUUUAGCUGGGGCGGCGGAUUAUUGAACGUGGUUUAUUAUUUAACUUUGUGUUGACGACUUAUUGACCUAGUAGGUUUAGUUAAGUGGAAAAUUACUGUAGGGAUAACAGCGUAAUUUUUUUUAAGAGUUCUUAUUAGCGAAAAAGUUUGCGACCUCGAUG